rnacentral:rRNA from 1 species
AACGAACGCUGGCGGCAGGCUUAACACAUGCAAGUCGAACGCUGUAGCAAUACAGAGUGGCAGACGGGUGAGUAACGCGUGGGAACGUGCCUUUCGGUUCGGGAUAACUCAGGGAAACUUGAGCUAAUACCGGAUACGCCCUUUGGGGGAAAGAUUUAUUGCCGAAAGAUCGGCCCGCGUCCGAUUAGCCAGUUGGUGAGGUAAUGGCUCACCAAGGCGACGAUCGGUAGCUGGUCUGAGAGGAUGAUCAGCCACACUGGGACUGAGACACGGCCCAGACUCCUACGGGAGGCAGCAGUGGGGAAUAUUGGACAAUGGGCGCAAGCCUGAUCCAGCCAUGCCGCGUGAGUGAUGAAGGCCCUAGGGUUGUAGAGCUCUUUCGCCAGGGACGAUAAUGACGGUACCUGGAUAAGAAGCCCCGGCUAACUUCGUGCCAGCAGCCGCAGUAAAAC